GCCCAUGAGGGGAAGUUCCUGCUUCAGGUGCAGAAAUACAGCUAUUUCCAGUGCCAGCUGUUGAGCCAGUGCCAGCACCAGGGUCAAAGCCCCCUCCAGGGACAGCGCUGGAGCUAGAGGAGGCUCCAGAGCCCUCCUGCCAUUGCCCUGGGACUGCCCAGAACCAGCCCAGUGAGAAGCUGCCUGACUUCAUGGCACCUCAUGUACAGCCACCGGCCUCAGCCCUGGAGCUGAAAGUGUGGCAGGAGCUAGAGGUGGCAGAGAGGGGGUGACAAGCACAGCUCCAGCCAGCAGCUCCCACACUGCUCCCAGUCCUGGGCACAGUGGAAGCUAUGGAGGCAGAGACCAGGGUGUGCAGCCUGGGCUCCUCUGCCUCACUGGAGAGGGACUUCUCUCAUUCAGCAGAGCAGCAGCCCUGCUGCUGAAGAGCCUGCUGCUACUGCUGCUGGAGGUGUUUGCCUGCCUACAGGAGGUGCUGGAGAGCAAGAAAAGGAGCCUGUGAGCAGGGGUUCCAGCAGGUCCUCCUGCUCCCAGAGGUGACCUCCUCCUCCAGGCAUGGAGAUUUGCCCUCACCUAGGCAUCUGGGCCAUUUGCCUCUAAUGUUCUGCCCAGGAUGGCCUCUUCUUGACAGGCAGACAGGGGUUGAGGGGGCCAGGGGGCAUCUCCAAAGGAAGAUUUAAACUCAGCAUCUGCACCCCAGAAUCUCCAUGCCUGCACCUGCCCAAGGAUUUAUUCAUAGCUUAACUAAGAAUCUCAAAUUUCUACCAUAACACUGAAAUAAAGUUUGACUUUUUGAAACUUCCAUGACUUCUUUCACUCCCUAAUAUUGUAG
rnacentral:lncRNA from 10 species